AUCCCUGUAAGUGCAAUGGAUAGCGUGUUGGACUUCUAAACCAAAGGUCGUGGCUUCGAGUUCUAUCUGGGAUG